rnacentral:rRNA from 1 species
CGGAUUUAUUGGGCGUAAAGAGCGUGGAGGCGGCCGUACAGGUCAGCUGUGAAAACUCGAGGCUCAACCUCGAGACGUCGGUUGAAACCGUACGGCUAGAGUCCGGAAGAGGAGAGUGGAAUUCCCGGUGUAGCGGUGAAAUGCGCAGAUAUCGGGAAGAACACCCGUGGCGAAGGCGGCUCUCUGGGACGGUACUGACGCUGAGACGCGAAAGCGUGGGGAGCAAACAGG